AAGAGACACGGAACAUAGCGGCAAAAAUUUGCCGGCCGCUCAGCUUACUGCCGCAAAACAUCUCUGCAAAAGUACCAACCCUUCAUGUGCCGCACCAUCAGUGGCGACUGCAUCAAGAAAUGCCGCUAAUUUGGAUCUUUAUCAUAAUUCAAUUUUUAUUUUGCCUUUCUUUUAUCUUAUAACCAUUCAUUUCCCCCAAUAUUGCAGAAACCCGCAAAGUAAGAUUGGGAGCGCACGAAACCCUGGCACUGCUGCUCCACCGUGCAUCGCAAAUCCAUCCUCCUCUUUCCGGCGUCAAGCUUUCGACUCUCCUACACAUUGCCUGAAAUCCAUUCUCCCUUAUCCACGGUGUCUGAAAUCCCUAAUCUCCGAUUCACCCUGCGCCUUUUGCUGGUUGUGGAGUCACGCGGCUGCCCUCCGUCCUUCUCUCACCGGCGUCGAACUUUCCCAUCUCCUCGAUCGUGCGUGAAACCCUUACACCCUCCUCCCUCUGCGCCAAUCUGAGCUAUCGCGGCCUCUCCACUGUCACUGGUUCAUUCUUCUACAUUGAUCUUUCUAUCUUGCUUUCAUUCAUGGUUCAGAAUUUUGAUUCAGAGUUGAAAUAUACUCAUUAAGAGUUGUCUCAAAACGAUUGUCAGGAAAACCGCAGGAAUGGAAUAGUGAGUCAACUAAACAAUUUGUUGGACUUUCCAUGUAGAAUGUUAAUUUCUCACCAAUCUUAUUUACCUAUAAAUAUUUAUCAGUUGCUUUUAGUGCUUUCUGUAGCAUGUCUUGUUCUCUCUUGAUGAUACCAUAGGGUAAAUACACAUGCAUUUUAAUCAAGCACCCUUAUAGCUAGCAAUUUUUGUGCUCGAGAAGAUUUAUUUAUUUAUUGGAUGGGUGUUUUUUUGGAAUUCAAUGUUUAAUUUAUUUAUCAGUUAGAAUUUUAGUUAUUCAAUUAGCCAUCCAAUCUUGUGCAAUGUGGCUGCUUUUUGGAAAAGGUAAAAUAAAAUAAAUUUAUUAUCAUGAAAAUUUAUGAUGUUUAUCUCAUGAACUUUGUUCUUUGUUACUUGGUUAUGGAUUCCAUAGUCCUUAAUUAUUUACAUCCUAAUAACUCCUAACAUAUCUAUGACAAUUUCAAUUAUAGUCUUCCCGAGUUAAUUGCGUUGAUUAUUGAUUAUGAAAUCAUGAAGUGCUUCUGUUCCAUAUUCCAAUCAAGAAUUAAGAAAAGUGAUCAUGCAGCAUACUCAUUCAUGAUCUUUUGAUUUCAUUGCUAAUAUUGCCUUUUCUCUAUUGACUAAGAAUGCAAUUUUAUCAUGAAAUUAGUACAUGAAGUUCUGGCAUUCAGAUGAUGAUUCUAUCUUGAUCUCUAAACUAUAUCAUAAUCCCUAACAUAUGACACCAAAUGACACCAAAUUAGUCCUUCAAAGACCUUGGGCUUUGUUUAUUUAUGGACACGGAACACUGAGACAAGAACACGGAUAUGGAGACACAUAAUUAUAUUUGACAGAUGAGACAUGAACUCGUUUUUAUUUUUCAUUAUUCUUAUCAAUUUUUUGUAAUUUAAUUUUUUAUUAUUAUAUUUUUCUUCGUAAAUUUUUUGUGUAAAAGAAAAUGUGAGAGUAAAUUAAACUUUCAUAAUUUGUUCUUUACAUUAAGUACUUAAAUUAGUCUGUUUUCCAAUUAGCUGUGAGCUUGUGAUGUCAGUUCAUAUGGACAUAUUUAUUCAAAUUUUGUUUUGGAUAUACACCUAAAAUUAUACUAAUUAACCUCAGGUUAGAGGGGAUAUCACAAGGGCUUUAAUGUACAUGGCAGUCGCUUAUGAGUUUCAGCAACCAGGGAGAAAUCUAAGUCUUCGCCUCUCAGAUACUCCAAAUGUUGGUAGGUUGGAGCACUGCAGAUUCAGACUCCUCACCUCUGUCCCAACUUCUACUCGUUAUUGUUGCUAUUGGUGCCAUUACAAGUGCAUUUCAUGAAUUCAACAAUGAAUUAUCAUGUGAUGGAAGGAUAUGAAAAUAUCAAGAGCCUCAUGUUUUCCUUGAUGCUAUUUUCUAGUUAGUUUCAUGGAUAAUUUUCCCAUUAUUAAAAGGUAAGAACAAAUAUAAAAUUGUGGUUUUAAGCACUAAGGCACAAUAUUAUUUUUGACAGUGACAUUUUUGUAUUGUGCUAUAUUCUUGUCUAAGCUCCGUAGCUUGAUCACUUAAAGCAUGGAUUAUUCAAUGGCAUUUGGAAUCCUGCUCGUCUUUUAUAUUUGGUAUUUGAGUUAUGAAGGAGCUUAUAAGAACCAACAGGAGAACUCUUCGGCAGAAUCAGUUCACUAGAAUCAUGGAAAUUGUAGUAACCAUUGUAAGAAGGGAUAAUUAUAUCUAUAUGUUCUUUAACUUCUUAAGGAAAAAAAUUCCAUACUUUAAAUUGGUGGUGUCUUUGUAUUUUAUGUAAUAAAAUUUGUUUUUCAGUUAA